CUUCUCUUUCACUCAAUACUCACACCUACCUCACACGAGUUCAACCCCAAAAUUUAUCCCACGCAUUCCUCCUCUCUCCUCGUCACCAUAUUUCUAACGAUCUCUGACAGAUUCUCUCGUGCUCAUCCCUUUCUCACGUGUUAGAAACCUCUAGAAAGCAUAUGCUGGGUGAAUGUGAAGUGUGGGAUCGAUUUCAAUUGAUCCCUGCCCUUCAUUCAUCAAGUUUGUGCCUAAUAAGUUGAGGAAAUUUUCGGAUAAAAGGGGACUUAUUUUGAGAGGAAUUUUUGGAGAGAUAAAAGUUCUAGGUUUCUUAGCAUUGUUACAUUUGUAUUGCAUUUCAGAAAAAAAAAUACAAAAAAAAAAAUCGAUUUCUGUAUAUCUCAUCUAUGGGACAAUCUUGCUGGUGAUGGAGUUUGUGUGAAAUUGUUUGCUGUUCUAUGGGUCGUUUGGUGAUCUCUGAUUUUGUCCGAGUUAUUUCUUGAGAUUAAGAUUUUAGUUUGCAAUUUAAUUUGAUAUUUUUAUUGCAUGAGUGGUAUUUUGGAGAAAGACAAUGUAAUUUCAGUUAUUAGUGAAAGAAUUCCAAGCUAACAGGUUCAUUCCCUUAUUCCCUUUCUAUGUUUUCAAUAUUUUUUUUGGCAAUCCACUAGGCUCUGCCUAGGGCUAGUUUUUUUUUAAUAACAGAAAAGAAAAUUACAACAAUUAGGAAAAAUACAAAUAAGGGGAUAAUAGCGCCGGAGUUGUUACCCAUAUAACAAAAACCGGGCUAACCUUACCGUACUAAUCCUAUUGAGGCUUCAAAACCUCAUUACUAGCAAGCAUGUAAAAAAUAUUAGGAGAAAUACAAAUAAGGGGGACAAUAGCGCCGGAGUUGUUACCCAUAUAACAAAAAACGGGCUAACCUUAUCGUACUAAUCAUAUUGAGGCUUCAAAACCUCUUUACUAGCAAGCAUGUAAAAAAUAAGAACUUGAAAGGACCAAAUAAGCUAUGAUCAUCAUAGAGUUUAUAACAUAAUCUGUGA
rnacentral:lncRNA from 1 species